rnacentral:rRNA from 1 species
AUGGGGAGAAUGAGAGCUCUACCAUUGAACUGGACGUCUCCUGUGAUGAUACUAGUAGGCGUUUUGUGCGGCGAAUCCAGUAGUCUUGAGGUCAAGGAGGCUUUAAAAAGGAUGAAAGGAGGCAUAGCUAUGGGCCGUGAUUGUAUCCCCAUUGUGUGGAGAAGCCUUGGAGACAUAGCAAUAGUAUGGCUAACUAAGCUUUUCAACCUCAUUUUUCUAGCAAACAAGAUGCUAGAAGAAUGGAGACGGAGUAUAUUAGUACUAAUCUUCAAGAACAAGGGGAUGGAUGUUCAUAGUUGUACUAAUUACCGUGGAAUUAAGCUGAUGAGCCGUACAAUGAAGCUAUGGGAGAGAUUCAUUGAGCACCGUUUAAGAAGAAUGACAAGCAUGACCAAAAAUCAGUUUGGUUUCAUGCUUGGGAGGUUGACAACGGAAGCCAUUUUCUUGGUACGACAACUUAUGGAGAGAUAA